UACAGAGGUCUCAAGCGUUGUUCGGAUUCAUUGGGCGUAAAGGGUGCGUAGGCGGCGCGGUAAGUCGGGUGUGAAAUCUCGGAGCUUAACUCCGAAACUGCAUUCGAUACUGCCGUGCUUGAGGACUGGAGAGGAGACUGGAAUUUACGGUGUAGCGGUGAAAUGCGUAGAUAUCGUGAGGAAGACCAGUUGCGAAAGCGGGUCUGUGGGCAAUUCCUGACGCUGAGGCACGAAGGCUAGGGGAGCAAACGGG
rnacentral:rRNA from 1 species